AAUAAAAAUGCUACAACCCGACUGGGGGAUGGCUCGGCUAGAGAGCCGAAGAAGGUCGUGACAAGCUGCGAUAAGUCGCGGGGAGAGGCAUGAAUCUCAUGGAUCCGCGAAUUGCCGAAUAGGACCUCCUGGCGCUAUGCGCCAUUCCUAUCAAAGGAAAGGGAACCCCCCGAACUGAAGCAUCUCAGUAGGGGGAGGAAAAGAAAUCAAACGAGAUUCCGUAAGUAGUGGCGAAUGAACACGGAAUUGGACAAACCGAAUCUCCUUGGGAAACCUUGGAGAGAUGUGGGGUAUGGACUGUCUCAGCCUAAAUCAUGGAAAUGGAAAUCGCCUGGAACGGCGUGCCACAGAGGGUGAAAGCCCCGUACAUGCAAGUGAUAUGGUUAUGUGACUGAUUCCUGAGUAGCGUGCGUUGGAUAUCGCUCGUGAAUAUGGGGGGCAGAAACCUCCAAUCCUAAAUACUACUCUAGACCGAUAGUUGACAAGUAGAGUGAUCGAAAGCUGAAAAGUAUCCUUGGCGGGAUGUGAAAAGAACCUGAAACCAGUCGGGAACAGGCUGAAUAUGCGUGAAAGCGAAGAUAUGAGCAGCGUGUAUUCGUGCGUUUCGAAAAAUGCCCCUGGGAGUUCUGAUCAUUGGCGAGGUUAAGCAGUUGAACUGCGAAGCCGAAGGGAAACCGACAAGUCCGCAGCCGCUUAGGCGGUCAGGGACGGGAUGUGCUCGUCCGAAGUCAAUGGUGGGAGACCUGAAGCCCGUCGAUCUAUUCCUGGCCAGAUUGAAGCCCGGUGAAAGCUGGGUGGAGGAUCGAACCGUUGCUGAUCUGCAAAUCGCUCGGAAGAGCUGGGUAUAGGGGUGAAAGUCCAAUCGAGAUGGGCAAUAGCAGGUUCCGCGCGAGACUACUCGCAGGUAGAUCUCCGUUGAGGUAGAUGACGAUGUAGAGCACUGAUUGGGUAUUUAGGGGGAGCAAUCCCUCGGUACGCUGUCAAACUCCGAAGUUGUUAUCGCCGUAGAAACGGGGAGUGAGCCACGGUGGGUAAGCUACCGUGACGAAAGGUGAAUAAACCAGCUCAGUGUUAAGGUCCCAAAGUACCAGUUAAGUGUUAAUCAGAAACGGCGUCCGUGGUCGAAGACAACCAGAAGGUGGGCUUAGAAGCAGCCAUCCUUGAAAGAGUUCGUAACAGAUCACUGGUCAAGCUUGCGGGCCCGGAAAAUGGACGGGGCUCAAACUGGUCACCGAUACACUGAUCCUUCGAAAGAAGAUGAGGUAGCGCGGCGAUGUGCUCGGGUAGAAGCGAGGUCGUAAGGUCUCGUGGACCGUGUACAUAUGAGAAUCUAGGGAAGAGUAGCAGCAUAGUAUGGUGAGAAUCCAUACCACCGAAAGGGUAAGGGUUCCUCGGCAAUG
rnacentral:rRNA from 1 species